AUAUAUAUAUAUAUAUAUAUAUAUAUUAAAAAGACAUAUUUGCCUUUGAGAAAAACAUUCCAUGCAAAGCUACUAGUAAAGGAGAAUAGCAUUUCUUUGUAGUUUCUAAAAUACGGCGGACCUAACAAACAAGCGCGUGCUUGCAGGUGAUAAAUAGGCCCCAUCACGCGCUCCCUCCUCACUCCGCGUGUACUUCUAGUCACUGGGAAAGUUCGAGUGACGGAACUACGAACAGCCAGAAAGUGUGACGUCAAAAACCACAGCGCGUCAGAAAAGGCACCGUGGUGUGUUUAAUUGUUGCAUCUUUGACGUCCCGCUUUGACAGUAUGGUUUUAAGCAAGGGGGGGGGGGGUCGUUUUAACAUGCUAAUUUUUAAACGAGGGUAGUUCCCUAAUAGCCCCCCGGCUAAUGUGGGCCUGUGUGAUGUAUGAUUCUUUCAGCUGUGUUUAUUAAACGAGAGGAAGACCCUUUUUAUUGCCUCCCUCCGUCGCCCUCACACAUAUGUUAAGAAGCCAUUAAAAUGAGAAAGUUGUACUUACAGUACGGUACUUUUGUUGAUUUAUUUAAGGCAGUCCUUGGUCCAUUUGUCCCCCCUUUGCUAAUGCGAAUUACCCUAGCAUUCUGUCGGAAGACGAAAAAAAAAAAAUAGCUCAAUCAACGUCACACUCUAAUUAUAACAAUUCUAUAAUUCCCAUUUACAAAUAUAUAAAAAUGUGGCAGAAAAGGUUUUACAAAGUUGCAUACAUAUUUUCAUUUCUUGCACUAUAAAACAUAAUUUUAAUGGGUGUUAAAUAUUAACAAUUAAAAUUAUUCAAAUGUUAAUCGGACACAUUAGCUUAUUUUAAUUCUAAUAUUAGUGACUAACUUUUAGUAAUACAUCCUCACUAACAUUUUGAAUCUGCGUUAAAAUGUUGGUUCGAUCACCUGAGGUUUGCAGUGUUCACCGGAGAACGAGAAGGCGGACAUGUUUAUGUGUGGAGCUAUAGAUCUAUUAAUACUGUAAAAAUAAAUAAAUAAAUACAUUUUGGCAUUAAGAGUAUGAUUUAGUGUUUAACAACAGUGCUAAUGCUAUAGUCAAUAAUGCUAUCGAGUUGGAAGUUGUUGGCAGUGGGUGGACCAUCUUGGCUUGACAGGGAAAAUAUUCGCAUGUUGCAAUAGAUAUUUAAAAAGUUGCUACUUCAGUAAUAUUUUCUAACCUAAUCAUUAUUAUUAUUAUUAUUAUUUUAGUUUUUACAUGAGAGGACAAAUCAGGCAAGAAAACGUGAUCUUAAUAAUUAGCAAGAAUUAUAGCUAAAGUUGCAGCAUGUUAACAUUUCUGCACGUAUUUUAUUGGUUAAAUCCUACAAGUCCGUUUUGUCAGUGUACCUCAUCAUUAAUAACAGUGCCUUAUUAACAUUGUUGUCUUAAGAUCCCAAUUUUUUGUGUUUUGUUUUUGACAUUGGACCGAAUAGUACCUGCCUAAUUUCUCAGUAUUUUUCUUCUUGUUUUUUUUUUUUUUAACCUCCUUCUGGUUUUGCUAUUAUCUCCAUAUUUUAAGCCCAUCUGUGUCUCUUUCUCACGCCCUCUCCCUCUACAUCUCUUCUCAUGCGCAUGCGUCAGUCGGCAGCUGCUUGCAGGAAGAUUUCCAUCACAUUUGUUGUGGCAAAACCUUGAAACAGGUCUAAUUGUGGAAAAAAAAAACGAGCGGAAAAAGAGGGGGGGAAAUGAUCCUCUUCAUCCAGACUCACAGAACAAUCAGCUGAGGAUACCUCUAUUUUUUUUAAUAUAUAUAUUUUUUUGUCUGCCAAAAGCAAAUUAAACAUCUCCUCCAGUCCUACCAAUCGGCUGUCGAUAUGUUCAUCUGCAACCACGAGCGCCGGAUAACAGAGCAGAGAGCGAGCGGGAGAAGAAAAGUAAGCAGAGGUUCAAGGCAUCAGGGGGAUUUCAGCUUUCCACAUGAGACCGACUCAGAAGAUAACAUUUGUUUAAUGUGAAGUUAAGCUGGAGCCGCUAUCAAACGCCAACCAAACAGAUUUUAACAGAUUGGUCCCUCACUGCUGUGAGAUCUAUGAACGUAGCUCUAUGACGUUUCCUAGUGGCCACAUUCAGUCAGGGGAAGAUCUAACGUUCACGAUG